GAUGAACGCUGGCGGCGUGCCUAAUACAUGCAAGUCGAGCGAACGGACGAGAAGCUUGCUUUUCUGAUGUUAGCGGCGGACGGGUGAGUAACACGUGGAUAACCUACCUAUAAGACUGGGAUAACUUCGGGAAACCGGAGCUAAUACCGGAUGAUAUUUUGAACCGCAUGGUUCAAAAGUGAAAGACGGUCUUGCUGUCACUUAUAGAUGGAUCCGCGCUGCAUUAGCUAGUUGGUAAGGUAACGGCUUACCAAGGCAACGAUGCAUAGCCGACCUGAGAGGGUGAUCGGCCACCCUGGAACUGAGACACGGUCCAGACUCCUACGGGAGGCAGCAGUAGGGAAUCUUCCGCAAUGGGCGAAAGCCUGACGGAGCAACGCCGCGUGAGUGAUGAAGGUCUUCGGAUCGUAAAACUCUGUUAUUAGGGAAGAACAUAUGUGUAAGUAACUGUGCACAUCUUGACGGUACCUAAUCAGAAAGCCACGGCUAACUACGUG
rnacentral:rRNA from 1 species